CUUUAACCGGAGGCUGGCUGGGAGCUACCAGGGAAGAGGCCACAUUAUUCUCCUCAAACAAAGGCAUGACAUUUAAACUGCGCAUGUAAACAACUGCAACGUCCUGCAGCAGAGGAGUCCAGCAACAAUAAAAGAUGCAGGAAAAGUAGCAAAACAUUGGAAAAUAGUUAGUUGCUUUUAAAGUGUUCAACGUGUUCUUUAAUGAGGGACUGGAGAUCCAAGAGUCCAGGAAGAGUAUCUCAGAUACUCAGAGAGUCCAUCACGUGCAAAAAAAAAAAUCUAUC